rnacentral:tRNA from 1 species
GCCUCUAUAGCUCAGUUGGCAGAGCAUUUGCUUA